GUUAGCGUGGUGUAGUGGUUUGCACAUUGGAUUAUGACUCUGGAAACCAUGGUUUGAAUCCCAGCUCAGCCA